CUCAGAAAGAAGCCUUUUUCUACGCGGUAAAUCUAUACUCUUUUUGAAUAUNGUCAGUGACGUGCGCGGCCUACCAUGCAGUCGGCGUAAGAGAGCUGCUCUNUGAAGCGCGACGGGUAGUAAUGCCUAGAAUCUGCCUGGUAGUGGGGAUAACGUUCGGAAAACGAACGCUAAUACCGCAUNCGUCCUACGGGAGAAAAGCAGGGGACCCUUCGGGGCCUGGCGCUAUCAGAUGAGCCUAGGUCGGAUUAGCUAGUUGGUGAGGUAAUGGCUCACCAAGGCGACGAUCCGUAACUGGUCUGAGAGGAUGAUCAGUCACACUGGAACUGAGACACGGUCCAGACUCCUACGGGAGGCAGCAGUGGGGAAUAUUGGACAAUGGGCGAAAGCCUGAUCCAGCCAUGCCGCGUGUGUGAAGAAGGUCUUCGGAUUGUAAAGCACUUUAAGUUGGGAGGAAGGGCAUUAACCUAAUACGUUAGUGUUUUGACGUUACCGACAGAAUAAGCACCGGCUAACUCUGUGCCAGCAGCCGCGGUAAUACAGAGGGUGCAAGCGUUAAUCGGAAUUACUGGGCGUAAAGCGCGCGUAGGUGGUUUGUUAAGUUGGAUGUGAAAUCCCCGGGCUCAACCUGGGAACUGCAUUCAAAACUGACUGACUAGAGUAUGGUAGAGGGUGGUGGAAUUUCCUGUGUAGCGGUGAAAUGCGUAGAUAUAGGAAGGAACACCAGUGGCGAAGGCGACCACCUGGACUAAUACUGACACUGAGGUGCGAAAGCGUGGGGAGCAAACAGGAUUAGAUACCCUGGUAGUCCACGCCGUAAACGAUGUCAACUAGCC
rnacentral:rRNA from 1 species